rnacentral:tRNA from 2 species
GCGGGCGUGGCGGAACUGGCAGACGCACCGGAUUUAGGUUCCGGCGCCGCAAGGCAUGGGGGUUCAAGUCCCUCCGCCCGCACCA